CAUUACAUGCACCGCGUCUCUUCCCUUUCUCUCUUCCAUUUCUGUUUAAUUUUCUAAUCAUCGUUUUCACCCUUAAUUUAAAAAAUAGCCAGUCUCAGAUAGUAGUAAAAUUCCAGUAUUUGAGAAGUAACCAGAAUGGGAAAAUUCGAUUGGAGAUACGUUACGUUGUUCGUGCUUAUACUUGUUUGGAGUGUAAAUGGCGGAAUUGAAGGAGUGAUCAAAGUGAAUUAUAAAUUUUCCGGGUCGGAAAGGAAUUUACGUGCCCUAAAAGCUCAUGAUGAAAUGCGCCACCUCAGAAUCCUCGCCGGCAUCGACCUCCCUAUCGGCGGCAUUGGCCGUCCUGAUUCCGUCGGGCUUUAUUAUGCUAAGAUUGGGGUUGGAACACCUUCAAAUAGUUAUUAUGUCCAAGUGGAUACAGGAAGUGACAUUAUGUGGGUUAACUGCAUUACGUGUCAAGAAUGCCCCAGAAGAGGCUAUCAUGGUCUGGAGCUAACACUCUACAAUCCAAGGGAUUCUCUCACUGGUAAACUCAUUGUUUGUGGUCACUCAUUUUGCAAAGACAUCGACAGAGGUUCAGGAUCAGGCUGCUCUGGUAAUACUUCUUGUACUUAUAGUCAAGUUUAUGGAGAUGGAAGCUAUAGUAGGGGCUACUUUGUGGAGGAUGUUGUCCAAUAUGAUCAGGUGUCAGGUGAUCUCCAAACUAAAUCAUCAAAUGGGAGUGUUAUUUUUGGGUGUGGUGCUUCACAAUCUGGGGAUCUGAGUUCCUCUGAUGAAGCUCUUGAUGGGGUUCUUGGAUUUGGGAAAUCAAAUUCAUCCAUGCUUUCCCAGCUGGCUUCAUCUGGAAGAGUGACGAAAAAGUUUGCACACUGCUUAGAUAGUGUGAACGGUGGUGGUAUUUUUGCCAUUGGGAAUGUUGUGCAACCAAAAGUAAACAUGACUCCUUUGGUACCUAAUCAGCCACAUUACAAUGUCAAUAUGAUGGCAGUUGAAGUUGGUUAUCAGUUUCUAAACCUGUCUGUUGAUGUACUUAUGAAUGGAGAGAACAAUGGAGUAAUAAUUGAUAGUGGAACAACAUUGGCUUAUCUUCCUGAGGUGAUUUAUGGUCCACUAGUGAAAAAGAUAUUCUCCUGGCAACCUGAUCUGAAAUUGCGUACAAUUCAUGAUGAGUAUACAUGCUUUGAAUACUCUGGAAGGUAUGGAGCAUACUGAGCACUCAUCUCUUUACGCAGUCUGUAAGUGCAUGAUGUUACUUUGUCUUUCUAACUUGUGGUUUCUUCUUUAUUUCAUCAUGUUACUCUUUCAAUUUCUCAAUCAACAUCCUUAUGAAGGAUAACUUAGCUGCUGCUCUGUGCUUCAAGCGUGUUUAUUCUGGAGCAGUGGCAAUUGGAUUCUAAAGGGCCGUCAUGCUAUCAGUUAUACUCUACUUCUCAAGAUAUUGUUCGCAAGAGGUGGAAUACGAUGGCUAAUUCUAUCUCAAGAUGAACUGAAAAUUGAUAAAUGCAUUGAUUCAAAUUCUUGUAUCAAACUAGUGGAAAUAAAAUAAGGUCGAGCAAUUUGCGCUGAUCCAUGUGACGCCUAGCAUAAUGUGCAUGAUAGUUCAAGAUUAGCAAUGUAAUAUAUGUCAAAAGAAUCAGAAGUCCUUUAUUAUAAUGACUUGGAUCCUAUAAAAGACUAGCAAUCAAGUUACUAGAAUAACUGUCAAUUUGGCUUGCAAUAAAGCUAUUUCAAUGGUGGUGUUUGGUAUGAUGAUCACUAUGCGGGAUAAAGAUCUUUUAGCAUGUAAAGCAGUUUUGCUCUCUAUUUAUUCUGUCUUGUGCCAGUUGUAAAGAUCAUGGUUUUAGCAACACAUAUUUCACUGAUUUUGCAUCCAUGCCUUGGCUUUGAACCUAGCCCAACAUAGUCUUUUGCUUGGAAAGUAUUCUUAUAAAACCAAACUUUUUGAACAUUGUUUUUAUUACAUAAUACCAUUACUAGUCAGAAUUAGUUAGUUUGGCAACUAUAUGAAGUAAAACAGCUAUGGAAAUUUACUUUCUGAUAUAUUGGUCCACUUGAAUAUGAAGACGCUUAACUUAUGGCGCGGGUAUUUAACUAGUUGCCUUAAAAAAUUUGCUAGUAAACUUGUCAAAAGAAAAACACAGAAUGAGAAAGAUUAUCUUAUACGGGGGACUUGUUUCCGGUGGAAGGCCACGUGGAGGAAUGAACUUUUGUUGAUGAUGGAUUCCCUCAAGUCACUUUUCAUUUUGAAAAUUCUCUUUCUUUAAGAGUUAGACCCCACGAGUAUCUA